rnacentral:rRNA from 1 species
AUUGAACGCUGUCGGCAGGCUUAACACAUGCAAGUCGAGCGAGCGGCGGACGGGUGAGUAAUGUCUGGGAAACUGCCUGAUGGAGGGGGAUAACUACUGGAAACGGUAGCUAAUACCGCAUACCAUCAGAUGUUCCCAGAUUGGAUUAGCUAGUAGGUGUGGUAAUGGCUUACCUAGGCGACGAUCCCUAGCUGGUCUGAGAGGAUGAUCAGCCACACUGGAACUGAGAAACGGCCCAGACUCCUACGGGAGGCAGCAGUGGGGAAUAUUGCACAAUGGGCGAAAGCCUGAUGCAGCCAUGCCGCGUGUGUGAAGAAGGCCUUCGGGUUGUAAAGAACUUUCAGUGAGGAGGCGUUACCUACAGAAGAAGCACCGGCUAACUCCGUGCCAGCAGCCGCGGUAAUUC